rnacentral:rRNA from 1 species
GACGAACGCUGGCGGCGUGCUUAACACAUGCAAGUCGAACGGAAAGGCCCUGCUUGCAGGGUACUCGAGUGGCGAACGGGUGAGUAAUACGUGGGUGAUCUGCCCUGCACUUCGGGAUAAGCCUGGGAAACUGGGUCUAAUACCGGAUAGGAGCCAUUUUUAGUGUGAUGGUUGGAAAGUUUUUUCGGUGUAGGAUGAGCUCGCGGCCUAUCAGCUUGUUGGUGGGGUAAUGGCCUACCAAGGCGGCGACGGGUAGCCGGCCUGAGAGGGUGGACGGCCAGAGGGGGAAAGAGAUACGGCCGAGGCGCAGGCGGGAGGCAGCAGUGGGGAGUGUGGCACAAGGGGCGUAGGCUUGAUGCAGCGGCGCGGCGGGGGGGAGGACUGUCUUGGGGUUGUAAACAUAUGACGCUAGGGACGAAGCUUGUUGAGACGGGGCCUAGAGAAGAAGCACCGCACACGUAUGUG